GUCACUUUGUGAAAAAUUCUCGUGUAUGGUCACAUUAGUUUUUCGCGGAAGGAAAAUCGAAUAAUUCGGUAGUGGGAAACCGGGAAGCCGAACGGAAGAGAUUCCAUCAAAAGUCCUCAAUUCCUUUAGCCAUUGUUAGCAGUCAUGGACCGCUACUCGGUGAGCUCGCUGGUGGGCCAAGGCUCCUUCGGCUGCGUCUACAAGGCGCUGCGCAAAGCGGAUGGCAAAAUGGUGGCCAUCAAGGUCAUCUCUAAGCGGGGACGCUCCGCUAGGGAGCUGAAGAAUCUGCGACGCGAAUGCGAAAUCCAAGCCAGAUUGAAGCACCCCCAUGUCAUCGAGAUGAUAGAGUCCCUGGAGUCCAAGAUGGAUCUCUACGUGAUCACCGAGUUUGCCCUGAUGGACCUGAACAGGUACCUGACCUACAACGGUCCCAUGGAAGAGGAGCCGGGCCGGCGCGUCAUAGGGCAUCUGGUGUCUGCCUUGUAUUACCUGCACGCCAAUCGCAUCCUCCACCGGGAUCUGAAGCCACAGAAUGUGCUGCUGGACAAGAACAUGCACGCCAAGCUCUGUGAUUUCGGUUUGGCGCGGAACAUGACUCUGGGCACCCAUGUUCUCACCUCCAUCAAGGGCACCCCUUUGUACAUGGCGCCCGAGUUGCUGGCCGAGCAGCCGUACGAUCACCAGGCGGACCUGUGGUCCCUGGGCUGCAUUGCCUACGAGAGUCUGGCCGGGCAGCCACCGUUCUGCGCCAGUUCCAUUGUCACUCUGAUCACGGUGAUCAAGCACGAGGACGUCAAGUGGCCCAGCACGCUGAGCAGCGAGUGCCGCUCGUUCCUGCAGGGCCUGCUGGAGAAGGAUCCUGUCCAAAGGACUUCAUGGACACAACUGUUGUGUCAUCCCUUCGUCGAGGGGCGUCUCUUUCUGGCCGACAUGCAUGCCGAGGCUGCCCAGGAGUCGCCCUUCACCAAUCCCGAUGUCAAGCCCCCUAAGCCGGCCAGAUCCUCGGCAAUCUCCCGGCAGGAAGCAUCCGAUUUGCACGACGCCCUGGCUGCUUUGAGUUUUGGCGGAAAUCUGAGCACCUCGCGCGACAGCAUCAACCCCAUUGUGGCCAGCGAUGUGGAGCCGCUGGAGACGGAUGUGGAGGACAAUAUGAAGCGUGUGGUCAUACCCUUUGCAGAUGUCUCGCUGCGGGACUUCCCAGCCGUCAGGGCCCCCUUGCACCACCCGAUGGCGCAGCAUUCGCUGCUGGCGCAUCACCCUCUGAUAGCGCAACACCAGCUGGCGGUGCAGCAGCCCAUGAUGGUGCAACAUCAGCCUCUGGUCAACUCGCACACUUGCUUCGUUAGCGGAAACUCGAACAUGAUACUCAACCACAUGAACGACAACUUCCCUAGCGACUUCAAUGCGGCGUCGCUGCGCGGCCAGGUGACCGUCAGGCCGCAGAUUCCCUCAGCCGUGCGCCAGUCGCGCAGCAAGGACCUGGAGAAGCGUAAGCUGAGCCAGAACAUGGACAACUUUUCGCUGCGACUGGGACAGAGCGUGGACACCGAGGCACACCGCAAAGCCACUGAGAUGCUGACCCAGGAGAAGCUCCAGCAAGAGAAGCUACAGCACGAGAAGCAGAAGAACCACAGCCUGAAACAGUCCAUGCACUCGGGCGAGGAGAAGCUGAGCAGCGACAAUACACCCCCAUUGCUGCCCGGCUGGGACAGCUGCGACGAGUCCCAGAGUCCGCCCAUCGAGAACGACGAGUGGCUGGCCUUCCUCAAUCGCUCCGUGCAGGAAAUCCUCGAUGGGGAACUGGACUCCCUCAAGCAGCACAACCUAGUGAGCAUCAUUGUGGCGCCACUGCGCAACGCCAAGGCCAUCCCUCGGGUGCUGCAGAGUGUGGCCCAACUGCUCUCCCUGCCCUUCGUGCUGGCGGAUCCCCUGCUCAUUGUCGAUCUGGAAAUCAUCCGCAAUGUCUAUGUGGACGUGAAGCUGGUGCCCAAUCUGAUGUACGCUUGCAAGCUGCUGCUCUCUAACCGCCAGCUGACAGACUCCGCCGCCUCCGGCACCCACCCGGCUGGCUCGCUGAGCCGCACACUGCGCAGCAUUCCGGAACUCUCGGAGGAGGAGCUGGAAACGGCCAGCAGCUUGUACGAACUGGUCUGCCAUUUGGUGCAUCUGCAGCAGGCAUUCCUCAGCCAGUUCUGCGACGCCGUGGCCAUUCUGUCGGCCAACGAGCUCUUCCUUAACUUCCUCACCUACGAUUUCAGGCAGGCGGACUCGGACUCGGCCUCCGUCCGGUUGGCUGGCUGCAUCCUGGCCCUGCUGGGCUGUGUGCUGCGCGAGUUGCCCGAGAACGCCGAACUGGUGGAACGCAUCGUCUUCAGCCCGCGUCUGCGCUUCGCCACGCUCCUGCAGAGUCGCCACCACCUGUUGCGCCAGCGCGCCUGCCAACUGCUCCGCCUCCUGGCCCGCUUCAGUCUGCGCGGUGUGCAGCGUAUUUGGGGCGUGGAGCUGCGACAGGCGCUGCAGGAACUGGCCGACAACUACAACUAUCCGGCACUGCGCAUUGAGGCCGCCCAGACCAUCGACGAGAUCAGCCAGUUUAGUUUUUUUGUUACCUAGCAUAUACUCCCCUUUAUUGGCAUCAGACGGAACUACCCGAAAAGGUCCUGAAUGUUGCCCUGGAAGUAGUCCAGCAGAUCGUCCAAAUAGCUACCAAAUCGGUCAAAGUUGAGCAGUAAACCCUCGCUGUUGCAGUCCUGUUCGUACAUUUCGUUCAGCUUGGAGACAUCCUUGUCGGAGAGGCCGCGCCGCUGUCCCAGCGAUGCAUAGGGGUCCUGCAAAGGACAUAAUUGGCUUAAACAAAAAAGCCAAAAAAAAAAAUCUUUAAAAUAAAGCCUUAUAACCAAUAUAGCCAAUUCAGGCCUAAAAGAAAAAUUUAUAACCAAACUUUCUAAAGUGUAAAGUGCCAGCCAAAUACAAGAGCAACAAAAACCAAAAUAAAUAAAUACAACAACGAAACAAAAACAAAAACCAAAAAAAAUCAGAAAGAAAAACAUUAAAAUUAAACAAGAACUGAAAAGAGCAGCUCGUAAACUUGAGAGCGCAGAAUUUGCAGCAGAAAGAAAUUUUUACGGCCUAUCUGGACAGAAAAAAAAAUGAAAUAAAAUAAAAAAUAAAAGGUUGAGGGCCCCGUCUACGAUUUCAAGAUGUUGGGGCCUGCCUCCCCCACUCCCCUCUGCCUGGAACCCACACACUAGCUUUCGAUUCAAAAACUUCCUUUAUGUUAAAUCUUUGAAUAAUAAUACCACUUCAGAGGAUAUAAAAUACUUAGAAAUAUAUGGUUAACAUUCUGGAGAUGCUGUUUCGCCACUUUCGCCUAAUGCCAAUGGUCGGGCACAGGUUCCGACGACACAUAACUGAAGAUCCUCCUUGGAUUGUGGGCGAUGAUCCUGUGACGAAGAAGCUGAUCUUGAUCCCUCAGGCGUAGCUCAUAAUCAUCCUGUCCGUCAUUCAUCAGUCUACCAUCAGCAUACGUCCGGUUUCCACCUGCAAGGCGUCGAUGGAGUCGUCGUUUUCGUUGAGGACUGCAAAGAAAAUACAAAUUUGAAUAUCAAUUAUAAUAAAAUAUAAGAUAUACAAAUAAUAAAUUAAAA